AUGGAUUCAGGGAAUGUAGGGCCAGGUCACUGGCAGCUCCUCAGCCCGAGCACAGCUUCGUUCAGCACAUGCACUCCCAGCCCCCCUGCCCUGUCCCUGCUGAAACAUCCCAGACACUUCAUAACCCUGCAAGCUCCAGGAACACCCUGGGGUUUGCCACAUCCCAUCCCACACCCCCCCGCCGCCUUCCAGGGUGAAGUUCUGCCCGGUGACCAUUGCUCUGCUGGCUCAGAGCUGGGAGAAGGACUGAGCCCAGCAGGGAUCCUGGGCUGCUCCAGCUGCUGGCUGAGCUGCUGGCGCUCAGUACACCUGGAAGUGGGCAGAGGUGGCACUGGCUCAGAGCUGGGAGAAGGACUGAGCCCAGCAGGGAUCCUGGGCUGCUCCAGCUGCUGGCUGAGCUGCUGGCGCUCAGUACACCUGGAAGUGGGCAGAGGUGGCACUGGCUCAGAGCUGGGAGAAGGACUGAGCCCAGCAGGGAUCCUGGGCUGCUCCAGCUGCUGGCUGAGCUGCUGGCGCUCAGUACACCUGGAAGUGGGCAGAGGUGGCACUGGCUCAGAGCUGGGAGAAGGACUGAGCCCAGCAGGGAUCCUGGGCUGCUCCAGCUGCUGGCUGAGCUGCUGGCGCUCAGUACACCUGGAAGUGGGCAGAGGUGGCACUGGCUCAGAGCUGGGAGAAGGACUGAGCCCAGCAGGGAUCCUGGGCUGCUCCAGCUGCUGGCUGAGCUGCUGGCGCUCAGUACACCUGGAAGUGGGCAGAGGUGGCACUGGCUCAGAGCUGGGAGAAGGACUGAGCCCAGCAGGGAUCCUGGGCUGCUCCAGCUGCUGGCUGAGCUGCUGGCGCUCAGUACACCUGGAAGUGGGCAGAGGUGGCACUGGCUCAGAGCUGGGAGAAGGACUGAGCCCAGCAGGGAUCCUGGGCUGCUCCAGCUGCUGGCUGAGCUGCUGGCGCUCAGUACACCUGGAAGUGGGCAGAGGUGGCACUGGCUCAGAGCUGGGAGAAGGACUGAGCCCAGCAGGGAUCCUGGGCUGCUCCAGCUGCUGGCUGAGCUGCUGGCGCUCAGUACACCUGGAAGUGGGCAGAGGUGGCACUGGCUCAGAGCUGGGAGAAGGACUGAGCCCAGCAGGGAUCCUGGGCUGCUCCAGCUGCUGGCUGAGCUGCUGGCGCUCAGUACACCUGGAAGUGGGCAGAGGUGGCACUGGCUCAGAGCUGGGAGAAGGACUGAGCCCAGCAGGGAUCCUGGGCUGCUCCAGCUGCUGGCUGAGCUGCUGGCGCUCAGUACACCUGGAAGUGGGCAGAGGUGGCACUGGCUCAGAGCUGGGAGAAGGACUGAGCCCAGCAGGGAUCCUGGGCUGCUCCAGCUGCUGGCUGAGCUGCUGGCGCUCAGUACACCUGGAAGUGGGCAGAGGUGGCACUGGCUCAGAGCUGGGAGAAGGACUGAGCCCAGCAGGGAUCCUGGGCUGCUCCAGCUGCUGGCUGAGCUGCUGGCGCUCAGUACACCUGGAAGUGGGCAGAGGUGGCGCCGUCCUUCCAGCAGCGCAGGGUGUCCACGGUGACCGAGCGGCACAGGGGACACGUCUUCUCGCGGUCGAACCACAGACACAGGCACUCCUCGCAGAACACGUGCUGGGGACACAGGCACUGGCACUGGCACUGGCACCGGCGGGCUGGCACCCGCAGGAAGGGGGGGAAAAACAAACCCCACUUUGCCAAAGCUAA
rnacentral:lncRNA from 1 species